UUUCAGUGUGCUGCUGAUGGGCUUGAUAAAAAGCGAAUUGUUCUUCAGCGCGACUUCGCCUUUGGCCAGCGUCAUCUCGCCGUCCAGCGGAAUAUCGAGAUGUAAGCGAGCGCUCACAUCACCGUCAAUUUGCAGCUCAUCUAACGCGCUGCCGAGCGAGUCGUGCAGCGGCGUCUGUUUAAAAUAGGGGCCGACCUCUUUGCCCGGCCCAUUGAUAUCGGCAUCAAUGAUCAGCUUCUCUUUGAUGUAAUCCGGAAUCGCAGCGGCCAGCUUGCUGGCGGUCACGCCGCCGAGCAUCACUUUGUCGCUCUUCAUCCAUAAGCCGUCAUUGAGGAAAUCGAGGCUAAUAUCGAGGUUUUGCAGCGCGGGCCAGUCCGGCUGGAAGGCAAAGGUGGCAUUGCGCAG
rnacentral:ncRNA from 1 species